CAGAGAGUAGUUUAAUGUAGAAUACCAGCUUUGGGAGCUGGAGAUAGAGGUUUAAGCCCUCUUUUUCUGA
rnacentral:tRNA from 2 species